AGCUAGGUCCUGCGCAAGGGAAGCCGGGAAAUCCGUCAGGUCCGGAAGGAAGCAGCGGUACCGGAACUCUCCCUGUGCCGCAGGGUAGCCUAGCUAUC
rnacentral:SRP_RNA from 1 species